AAGGUCAUUGCAGGAAAAAGCAGUAAUGAGUAAAUGUUGUGUAAGUGUGUGUAAAGGUGUGUUUAUUGUGUGUUUGUGGUCUACAGAAGGUCCCACGGUGAAGCCCUCCGUGUCUCUGCUCCCUCCCUCCUCUCUGCACCAGUCUGAGGAAUCGGCCUCGCUGCUCUGCCUGCUGUCUGCCUACUCUCCACAGGGGGCGUCGGUGAGCUGGACGGUGGACGGCUCGGCGGUGAAGGACGGGGUCUUGACCAGUGCAGAAGAACAGAAGAAGGACGGUUACACACGCAGCAGUACCCUGACCCUCAGCAAAGCACUCUGGGAAAAGGGGGAGGAGUUUGUCUGUACGGUCUCCCACGAGGGCGUGGAUCAUCCGGUCACGUUCAGAAAGAGCCAGUGUUAAGGCUAACAGCUCCAAGAUAGAACUGAACACUGAGCUGCUUACACAUCCAUCUACAAUAGAGUUUCAGUUCUACACAAUGCUGACAUUUCUGUCUUUACUCUCUUCACUGUCCUGUUGCUCUUCCUGUAGUUUUUCUCUGCUGAAAUAAAGCUUCAUUUUGGA